CUUUUUACGAUGUGGUUUUCAUGCCUUUCGUCGAUCGUUGAACAAUCGCCCGAUCGUAGAAACGAUUUUGCGAGAAGUAAAAAAGCGACGCGAGUGUGAUACCGAUUGUCUUUUAUCGAUCGAAUCUCCGCGUACGAUCUUUUUAUUCGUUUUGUUAGUAACGAUGUCUCUUUCCGUUACGAAUUUACGACGUUAACGACGACGCGUUUGAAAAUGCAACGAGCAUUGGCAGUGAGUAAGACCACUUUUAAAUCGAAUUAGUUACGCUGGAGUUGAGAGGAAUGAAAGAAUCAUCGAAAUUAGGAAGGGUGCCUGGUGACAUCAUUUCAUUAAAUGGGGUGGCCAUCUCUUUGAUCCGUACCUGCCGACUACGAUGUGGCCCAUAUGGUACAUCCGGUAUUGAAGACCUUGAUGACCAUCUAAUGUUUUAAAUACAUAGAUACAUAUAAAAGAAAUGUUAACGAAGCGAUCGUUAUUUUAUUUAGAGUCAAAGAAGAAAAAGUCUCUUCCUCGAUAUGGUUCUGUCAAAGAAAAUGAUUGAUUUCGUUCGCAUCGUAGAAAGGACGCUGUUUUGGAGGAUAACCAGGUGGACCUGCUGGCGUACAGGGGCCUUUCGGAGCUUCACAAGGACUCCUUCUUGGCCAAUCAGGUGGACCCUCACCGCAGUCAGAUUCACCCAAUCUUAUUUCCAUAUUCUUCACCAACCUGUGAUUGUUCUGCGCGACACGUAGAGUGGAAAUUCGAUAGGUAUCUAUUUUAUGUAUUCUUAUUUUGACUUUUUUCAAGCGACCCCUAGAUGCCUCUAACCCACCUCCCUCCUACAUUCCAAAAGAAUUCAUCGAUCUUUCUUCACACAAAGAGCUGUAGAGAUAAGAAUGAAAAAGAAGGAAAAAGGAAAGAAAAAAGUGGUUAAUGGACGUUAGGCUCGGGAAAAAGAACAACAAAACAAUGACUAUCACACGAUACAAAUAAUUAAAGUAAAUAACAAUUUAAAACAUAGUAGGAACGACGUGUCUUCGAUUCGUGUUGUUUAAUUGAUUAUUCGUCUGUUCCAUAUCAUCGGUUUUAUAAUCUUUCGCAUGUUCAUCUUUAACUACUGUUUCAAUGACACUCUCAUUGUGUCUCACGUGAAAUAUUUUUUUCUUUAAUUCCGACGACUUUCCAACGAAAAUUUGAAGUUUUUCGAAAGUUUUGUCGGCGAUAUUCUUUGAUAU